rnacentral:rRNA from 1 species
UCCGGUUGAUCCUGCCGGCGGCCACCGCUAUAGGAAUUCGAUUAAGACAUGCGAGUCGAGAGGCUUCGGGCCUCGGCGAACUGCUCAGUAACACGUGGAGAACGUGCCCUAAAGCCACCAAUACAAUCGGGAAACUGAUAAUAAUGGGUGAUAGGUCAUGGGAUCUGGAAUGACCCAUGGCUCAAAGUUCCGGCGCUUUAGGAUCGCUCUGCGGCCUAUCAGGUAGUAGUGGGUGUAACGUACCCCCUAGCCGACGACGGGUAUGGGCCUUGAGAGAGGGAGCCCAGAGUUGGAUUCUGAGACACGAAUCCAGGCCCUACGGGGCGCAGCAGUCGCGAAAACUUCACACUGGGGGCAACCCCGAUGAGGGAAUUCCUAGUGCUAGGACAUUUGUUCUAGCUUUUCUCAAGCGUAGAUAACUUGAGGAAUAAGGGCUGGGUAAGACGGGUGCCAGCCGCCGCGGUAAUACCUGCAGCCCAAGUGGUGGUCGAUUUUAUUGAGUCUAAAGCGUUCGUAGCCGGUCUGGUAAAUCCUUGGGUAAAUCGGGGGGCUCAACCUUCCGAAUUCCGAGGACACUGCCAGACUUGGGACCGGGAGAGGCUAGAGGUACUUCUGGGGUAGGGGUAAAAUCCUGUAAUCCUAGAAGGACCACCGGUGGCGAAGGCGUCUAGCUAGAACGGAUCCGACGGUGAGGGACGAAGCCCUGGGUCGCAAACGGGAUUAGAUACCCCGGUAGUCCAGGGUGUAAACGCUGCCGACUUGGUGUUGGAGGCCCUUCGGGGGCAUUCAGUGCCGGAGAGAAGUUGUUAAGUCGGCCACUUGGGGAGUACGUCCGCAAGGAUGAAACUUAAAGGAAUUGGCGGGGGAGCACCGCAACGGGAGGAGCGUGCGGUUUAAUUGGAUUCAACACCGGAAAACUCACCAAGGGCGAC